rnacentral:rRNA from 1 species
AUACGUAGGGGGCGAGCGUUGUCCGGAAUGAUUGGGCGUAAAGGGCGCGUAGGCGGCCCGGUAAGUCUGGAGUGAAAGUCCUGUUUUUAAGAUGGGAAUUGCUUUGGAUACUGUCGGGCUUGAGUGCAGGAGAGGUAAGUGGAAUUCCCAGUGUAGCGGUGAAAUGCGUAGAGAUUGGGAGGAACACCAGUGGCGAAGGCGACUUACUUGACUGUAACUGACGCUGAGGCGCGAAAGUGUGGGGAGCAAACAGGAUUAGAUACCCUGGUAGUCCACACUGUAAACGAUGAAUGCUAGGUGUAGGGGGUAUCGACCCCUUCUGUGCCGCAGUCAACACAAUAAGUAUUCCACCUGGGGAGUACGGCCGCAAGGUUGAAACUCAAAGGAAUUGUCGGGG